UUGAUUUAAAUAAAAAAGAAAAAAAAACAACAACGUAGUAUUAUCUUCAACCUCCCUCACAAGAAACACCUCCACAAGAACCAACCUUCUUUCUCUUUCCUCAACCACCACUUCCUAACUCGAAUGUAAAUCGGCCUCUUUAUUUCGUCCACAAGCUCAGGCGCGUCUUCAACCUCCCUCACACGAAACACCUCUACAAAAAUCGACAUUCUUCUCCUCCGGAUCUCUUCUUUCUCUUUCCUCGACCACCAUCCCCUAACACGAAUGUAAAUUGAUAUUUUUAUUUCGUCCACAAGCUCAGGUGCGUCUCCCCGACAAGGACAUCGAUUCAAGAAACUCAGUGUUUUAGUGUGUUGAAAAUGUGGAGAUGAGAGCAAGUCUUAAUAAUUUCUCUCU
rnacentral:lncRNA from 1 species